rnacentral:rRNA from 1 species
CACGUAGGGGGCAAGCGUUGUCCGGAUUUAUUGGGCGUAAAGAGCUCGUAGGCGGCUUAGUAAGUCGGGUGUGAAACCUCCAGGCUCAACCUGUGAAUGCCGCUGGAAACCAUCUGGCUAGAGUCCGGAAGAGGAGAAUGGAAUUCCCGGUGUAGCGGUGAAAUGCGCAGAUAUCGGGAAGAACACCCGUGGCGAAGGCGGUUCUCUGGGACGGUACUGACGCUGAGACGCGAAAGCGUGGGGAGCGAACAGG